CCCCCUAACACACCGGCCUCCUUAUGCCUUCACUCUUCAAUUGCAGACGAAAGAUGAAGCGUCUGGACUUCCUGAACUUCCGGCGGUUUUCAUCGCCCCCUCUACUCUAUAAGAAAUAGGUAAUUAACGCAAAUAUCAAUCUUCAGAUUAUCCCUUGAUUCUGCUCUAAUCUCUUCAAGGAAGAUGAUCAUGAUAGCACCUACCACUCUUCAACUUUACCUAUAGGGAAAGAAAGAAAAGAUACUAUGACACAUGUGAUGAGCCCAAAAUUAGAAUGAACAAGGUUGUCAGGACUAACCUACGGGUCAGGCUCGGUAAUGUAGUAUCGGUUCACCAAUGUGCUGAUGUGAAAUAUGGCAAACGGGUUCACAUCCUUCCAGUUGAUGAUACCAUCGAAGGCGUCACCGGCAAUCUCUUUGACGCCUACUUAAAACCACACUUUUUGGAAGCAUACCGACCCGUUAGAAAAAGGCGACUUUUUCCUCGUGAGGGGAGGCAUGCGAUCUGUAGAGUUCAAAGUUGUCGAAACCGAUCCUGCAGAAUACCAAGAUUUUCUAUGAAGGCGAGUCCAUUAAACGGGAGGAUGAAGAUCGAUUAGACGAAAUCGGUUACGAUGACGUUGGUGGUGUCCGCAAACAAAUGGCCCAAAUCCGUGAGCUUGUCGAGCUUCCGUUAAGACAUCUACAGCUUUUCAAGUCAAUUGGGGUCAAACCACCGAAGGGUAAUCUUCUUUACGGGCCUCCCGGGUCGGGUUGAUAAAAUAAAACCGGGCGCACUGCCGCCAACUGUUGAGGGGCCUGUUAUUCUUGUGUCAACAAAGCCGAUGAUGACGAAGAGAUACCAGCUGCAGGGAACAAUAUAGUAGGAGUUACUAUGCUCCGGAGUUGCCUCAUUUAUCUCAUCUUGGUUUCAGGGGCCCGAUAACACAUCCAUAUUUCAAAUUUUGUAUUACAGAGAUGGACAAAUUUCUUGCAAAGUUUGCCACUACCAGAAUUCCAGUGACGAUGGUGGCUCUGUGAUGGUGAAUCAUGGCGGCAUCAUCUGCAAAUAUGUGUGGUAGACAGUGGCGAUCAAUGGGACCAUAAGAGGGUUGAAGCCGGUCUAACAACAACAGCAAUUGGCGGCUACACAGGUGUCAAGAGGCAGCUGAUCUGGUGGUAAUAGGUGGUUGAUCUGGCGGUAAUGUGAGAGUGUAAAAGGCUGCAUUUAGUGACUAAACGACAGCAAAGAACAUCGGUAUUGAGCUACUAAAAUAGUGCAGCGAACAGGACAGCAACGUCGUGCAUUUGGGCGCGCUUUUGGGAUCAAAACAUUUAGUGUUUGGGUUCAUAACCGGUUUUCGGGUUCGGGUUGUGUUCGGGUUUGUGUCAGAUUUUCAGGUUUGCGCCGUGUUGGGCCAGUAUGGUACGUUUGUUUUAAAAGCUGGUUGAAUAGCAGUCUCAAAUGGGUUUGGCUUAGUAAGGUAACUGUUGGUACAGGGAAUGUAAAGUGUUUAACCCAUUUUUUAUUUUUUUAUUAGUACUUGCUAAAACUGAAAUUAUUUUUUAUGAAUUU